rnacentral:tRNA from 1 species
AAGGUUUUAAGUUAAAAAAACUAGAAACCUUCAAAGUUUCAAAUAAAAGAUCAAUCUUUUAAACCUUA